CAGAUGCUCCCUUCCCGCCAUCUCCGCGCCGCCGUGCGGCAGAGAAGCCACCGGCCCCCAGCCGCCGGAGAAGCCUGCUCCGGAAAGCUCGACACGGAUGUGAUACGGCGCAACAAGGCCAUCACGGUUCAUAUGCGCGCCGGCCGCGUAGGGGAGGCUGAGCGCCUAUUUGACGCCAUGCCCCGCCGCUCCACCUCCACCUACAACGCCAUGCUCGCCGGGUAUGCCUCCAAUGGACGCCUCCCUGUCGCGCUCUCCCUCUUCCGCUCCAUCCCACGCCCGGACACCUUCUCCUACAAUACUCUCCUCCAUGCGCUGGCGAUCUCAUCCUCCCUCACUGACGCCCGUAGCCUGUUCGAUGAAAUGCCGGUGAAGGACUCAGUGACAUACAACGUUAUGAUCUCGUCUCAUGCCAACCAUGGACUUGUCUCUCUUGCACGGAAGUACUUCGAUCUUGCUCCGGAGAAGGAUGCUGUCUCAUGGAACGGUAUGCUUGCUGCUUACGUCCGGAAUGGACGGGUUCAAGAAGCAUGGGAGUUGUUUAAUUCAAGGUCGGAGUGGGAUGCCAUUUCUUGGAACGCCUUGAUGGCUGGGUAUGUGCAGUUGGGUCGCAUGGCAGAAGCAAAGAAGCUUUUCGAUAGGAUGCCGCAAAGAGAUGUUGUUUCCUGGAAUACCAUGGUCUCAGGUUAUGCCAGGGGAGGGGAUAUGGUGGAGGCAAGAAGGAUGUUCGACAUGGCACCCGUGCGUGAUGUGUUCACAUGGACAGCAGUAGUUUCUGGGUAUGCUCAAAAUGGAAUGCUGGAGGAUGCCCGGAUGGUGUUUGAUGCCAUGCCUGAGAGGAACCCAGUGUCAUGGAAUGCAAUGGUGGCAGCAUAUGUUCAGCGGAGGAUGAUGGAGAAAGCAAAGGAGCUGUUUGACAUCAUGCCCUGCAGGAAUGUGGCGUCAUGGAACACAAUGUUGACAGGGUAUGCUCAGGCAGGGAUGUUGGAUGAGGCAAGGACAGUUUUUGACAUGAUGCCACAGAAAGAUGCAGUCUCUUGGGCUGCAAUGUUAGCUGCCUACGCACAAGGUGGUUUCAGUGAGGAAACCCUACAGCUGUUCAUCAAAAUGGGGCGGUGUGGUGAGUGGGUGAAUAGAUCAGCAUUUGCUUGUUUGUUGAGCACAUGUGCUGACAUUGCUGCUCUCGAGUGUGGAAUGCAGCUGCAUGGGAGGUUAAUUAAAGCUGGAUACGGCUUGGGUAGGUUUGUUGGGAAUGCACUCUUAGCUAUGUACUUCAAAUGUGGAAACAUGGAGGAUGCUCGAAAUGCAUUUGAGCAGAUGGAGGACAGGGAUGCAGUUUCAUGGAAUACUGUGAUCGCCGGUUAUGCACGUCACGGUUUUGGCAAGGAAGCACUUGAGGUGUUCGAUAUGAUGAGAGUGACAUCAACCAAGCCAGAUGAUAUUACUCUGAUUGGAGUACUUGCAGCUUGUAGUCAUUCUGGCUUGGUCGAGAAAGGCAUUUCAUACUUUUAUUCGAUGCACCGCGAUUUCGGUGUGACAGCAAAGCCUGAACAUUAUACUUGUAUGAUAGACUUGCUUGGACGGGCUGGUCGAUUAGAUGAAGCACAGGGCCUUAUGAAGGACAUGCCAUUUGAGCCAGACGCUACCAUGUGGGGUGCAUUGCUUGGUGCGAGUAGGAUCCACCGCAAUUCUGAACUAGGCAAGAAUGCAGCUGAGAAAAUAUUUGAGUUGGAGCCUGAAAAUGCUGGCAUGUAUGUCUUGCUUUCAAAUAUAUAUGCAUCUUCUGGCAAAUGGCGUGAUGUGGGGAAAAUGAGAGUUAUGAUGGAGGAGCGUGGUGUGAAAAAAGUGCCUGGAUUCAGUUGGAUGGAAGUACAAAACAAAGUACACACUUUCUCGGUUGGUGAUUGUGUGCACCCUGAGAAGGAAAAGAUAUAUGCUUUCUUGGAAGACCUCGACACAAGGAUGAAGAAAGCUGGCUAUGUGUCAGCUACAGAAAUGGUUUUGCAUGAUGUGGAGGACGAAGAGAAGGAAAACAUGCUAAAGUAUCAUAGCGAGAAGCUUGCUGUUGCUUACGGUAUUCUAAAUAUUCCUAUUGGGAGGCCUAUCCGAGUGAUAAAAAACCUCAGAGUAUGUGGAGAUUGUCACAAUGCUUUCAAAUAUAUCUCUGCAAUUGAGGGCAGGCUGAUCAUCCUGCGGGAUUCUAACCGCUUUCACCACUUCAGAGAUGGUUCUUGUUCAUGUGGUGAUUACUGGUGACUGCAGAGUAGAAUCUGGUGUGAAGUAUUCCUGACGGAAUUUACAGUUGAGAGCAAACAAUGACCAUGCAAUGCAAGAUGCAAACACAAAUUAAUAGUGAUUGUGAUGACUCAGUCUGGCCAUCCAUCCACUAGGCCUAAUACUCAAGUACUGCUCCAAAGAAUAUGUUUGUUGGUGAUUGCCACAUGUUGGCCUCGCAUUUCAAUCACGAGAGCUGAGAUGAGAGGGAGGGAGGGAGAAUCCACAAAGAGUACAUUUCUUAUCUCGUGUGAUGAAAGCGUUGAUCAACAGUAAUAUGUGGAUAAGAUUUUAGCUAUGCAUGUGUCGGUUGGAAGGACUUUAGACAUCAAGGAUGAACCGGCAACGGACUAUUAUUCUGUAUUCGCUACUGAAAGCAGCCAUGAAGACAUUUUGUCAUGUUGGUUCAGUCAGAAUAACCAUGUCAUAGUUCGCUUUGUGCUCACCAUGCCAUGGAGACAUUUUCCUAUGUCGAUUACCCAAAAAGAAAAAAGGAUAAGAGCAUCUCCAGCCGUUGGACCCCCAAGAGCACCAUCGAACAAAAAAAGUUGGUGACUUGGGGGGCCAAAUGCUUCAUCCGGCGACAAUAGGGGUGCAUGGGGAGGGCAUCUUCCCAGCCACAUCCCACCCCAAUCAAAAGUUUGUGAGAAAAAUGAUUAGGUGGGCCAAGAAAAAGGACAUGUGGGAAGACAUGAUUCGCCGAAACUUUCGCCGGCGCCCCCAAGAGCCCCCUGACGCGCUGUGUUUUGCAUGGGUAUGCCGACGCUAUUUUAACGUCCUGGGAGGCGUUGGGGGCGUGGCAGGGCCGUUUUUGAGCCAAAAAACGUCCCCGAGCCUAAUACCGAACCUAAAAAGGUGUCCUGAAAGACAUCCUCGGGCGCGGCUGGAGAUGAUGUAACAAUGGCAGAAGAAGGGUAUGUUCCAUAGUCUUACAUUACAUGGAUAGUUGAUGCAGUGCUGAUUGAGCUGCAAGAAAUAUGAUCUGAAAUAUAUUAUGACAUCUACUCUCUCCGUUUUUAAAUAUAAGACCUUUUAAAGAUUA